GAUGAACGCUGGCGGCGUGCCUAAUACAUGCCAGUCGAGCGAACGGACGAGAAGCUUGCUUCUCUGAUGUUAGCGGCGGACGGGUGAGUAACACGUGGAUAACCUACCUAUAAGACUGGGAUAACUUCGGGAAACCGGAGCUAAUACCGGAUAAUAUUUUGAACCGCAUGGUUCAAAAGUGAAAGACGGUCUUGCUGUCACUUAUAGAUGGAUCCGCGCUGCAUUAGCUAGUUGGUAAGGUAACGGCUUACCAAGGCAACGAUGCAUAGCCGACCUGAGAGGGUGAUCGGCCACACUGGAACUGAGCCACGGUCCAGACUCCUACGGGAGGCGGCAGUAGGGAAUCUUCCGCAAUGGGCGAAAGCCUGACGGAGCAACGCCGCGUGAGUGAUGAAGGUCUUCGGAUCGUAAAACUCUGUUAUUAGGGAAGAACAUAUGUGUAAGUAACUGUGCACAUCUUGACGGUACCUAAUCAGAAAGCCACGGCUAACUACGUG
rnacentral:rRNA from 1 species